GCCGUGUGUCCGGUUGGUCGAGGAAGCAGUCUUGAAAACUGUCUGGGCGUAAAAGCCUCCGGGGUUCGAUUCCCUGACACGGCG
rnacentral:tRNA from 1 species